CGUAGGUGGUCCUUCAAGUCAGAUGUUAAAUUUCUCGGCUUAACUGGGAAUGGUCAUCUGAUACUGCUGGACUUGAGGGUGGUAGAGGGAGGUGGAAUUCCCGGUGUAGUGGUGAAAUGCGUAGAUAUCGGGAGGAACACCAGUGGCGAAAGCGGCCUCCUAGGCCAUUCCUGACACUGAGGCGCGAAAGCGUGGGGAGCGAACAGGAUCAGAUACCCUGGUAGUCCACGCCCUAAACUGUGGAAACUAGGUACAGGGAGUAUCGACCCUUCCUGCGCCGUAGCUAACGCGUUAAGUUUCCCGCCUGGGGACUACGGUCGCAAGACUAAA
rnacentral:rRNA from 1 species